CAGUAGCCGCGGGAAUACAGAGGGUGCGAGCGUUAAUCGGAUUUACUGGGCGUAAAGCGUGCGUAGGCGGCUUUUUAAGUCGGAUGUGAAAUCCCUGAGCUUAACUUAGGAAUUGCAUUCGAUACUGGGAAGCUAGAGUAUGGGAGAGGAUGGUAGAAUUCCAGGUGUAGCGGUGAAAUGCGUAGAGAUCUGGAGGAAUACCGAUGGCGAAGGCAGCCAUCUGGCCUAAUACUGACGCUGAGGUACGAAAGUAUGGGGAGCAAACAGGAUUAGAUACCCCGGUAGUCCCUGUCUCUUAUAC
rnacentral:rRNA from 1 species